rnacentral:rRNA from 1 species
AAAGUCGUAACAAGGUUUCCGUAGGUGAACCUGCGGAAGGAUCAUUACCGAUUCUUCACUGAGCACUCAGUGUCGAAAACCACUGUGAACUCGUCAUUGUCAUAUGUGGUGGGCCCUUCUGGGCCCUCAAAUGCGCGCAAGCGCGGCCACAUAUGGCUUCAUUCAUUUGUUUAAAAUGCUUUCUCAACUCCAGUUACUCGACAUUUCAAUGUCGUAAUAACAAGAGUGACAACUUCUAACGGUGAAUCUCUUGGCUCUUGCCUCGAUGACGAACGUUGCCAAUUGCGAUAAGUAGUGUGAAUUGCAGAAUUCAGUGAAUCAUCGGAUCUUUGAACGCAAAUUGCGCUCUCUGGAUACCCAGGGAGCAUGCCUGGAUGAGUGUCGUUUCAUAAUUCUCAACAUCUUGUGAAAGAUGAUUGUGGAGUGGGGGCCUCGGUUCGGCCGCUUGCAGUCUCUCUGCAGACCGCACUCGUGUCGCAUCGUCCCUCGAAGUCACUGAAGUUCCUCGAUGCUCUGCAUACCGAGGGAGGCUCAAAUUCAUUUCGACCUCUCUCACUUGCUCACGGGCGAGGUAGUUCGACACUAUUGCUUUGACCUCAUCUCAGACAAGACUACCCGCUGAAUUUAAGCAUAUCAAUAAGCGGAGGA